GGAGGGGUGUACCGAAUGGUAAGGUACUCGCCUGGAAAGCGAGCGCCCGUAAGGGCUUGCAGGUUCGAGUCCUGUCCCCUCCGCAA
rnacentral:tRNA from 1 species